rnacentral:tRNA from 1 species
AAGUAAGAAGCGAAGGUAUUGCAGUCAGUUUCGACCUGGCCUUAGAUGUGUACAUCCUUACUUG